UACGGAGGGUGCGAGCGUUGUCCGGAAUCACUGGGCGUAAAGGGCGCGUAGGUGGCCUGUGGAAGUCUGCGGUGAAAGCCCGGGGCUUAACCCCGGGUCUGCAGUGGAUACGGGCAGGCUAGAGGUAGGUAGGGGAGAAUGGAAUUCCCGGUGUAGCGGUGAAAUGCGCAGAUAUCGGGAGGAACACCGGUGGCGAAGGCGGUUCUCUGGGCCUUACCUGACGCUGAGGAGCGAAAGCGUGGGGAGCGAACAGG
rnacentral:rRNA from 1 species